rnacentral:rRNA from 1 species
AGGAUGAACGCUAGCGGCAGGCCUAAUACAUGCAAGCUGAACGGUAAAUAUUGUAGCAAUACAAUAUGAGAGUAGCGUAAGGGUGCGUAACACGUAUGCAAUCUGCCCUGUACAGGAGAAUAGCUCGGACGAAAGCCGGAUUAAUGCUCCGUAAUAUUAUGGUGUGGCAUCACAUUAUAAUUAAAGUUGCAAGAUGGUACAGGAUGAGCAUGCGU